AUUCUUACAACUUUGAGACUUUCACAACUGUCAAUUCCUAUCCAUGCAGCCUGAAUCAAUCAAUAGACUGUGAUCUGUGUCAACCCAUCAGAAUUCAACAAGCAUCAACUAGUCAGAACUCGGUAAGUGUCAACCAGUUAGAACCCAACAAGUGUCAAACAGUCAGAGCUCAUCGGGGGUCGACCCAUCAGAACUCAACAAGUGUUGACUCAUCAGAACCCAAGUGCCAAACUCAUCAGAACUCAACAAGUGCCCACCAGUCAGAACCCAAUAAGUGUCAACCCAUCAGAACUCAACAAGUGUCCGCCUAUCAGAACUCAAUGAGCAUCAGCCCAUGAGAGUCCAACAAUGCUCUGUGUAACCAUGAUUAAUAAAUUCAUAUCUGAUAACCCUGUUUCUACACUAUUAAUAUUGUUAAGUUUGGAUUGUCUUGUUCAGCUGUAGUUUUAGGGGCGUGUGUGCGUUUGCAUGUAUGUGAGUCCGGAUGGUUCUGUAAAAUAUGCACAAUAUAUUUCUCAUUGUGGCCACAGUAAAGUUAUGAAAAAUAGGAGCUUGGAGAAUGUCUUGUUAAGCACCCAUUAUUUUAAAGGUUAUAUUCUUGAAAGAAGCAGAAGUUUCCCAUGUUGGAUUGUUACCAGAUACUUUUCUUAGAAAAAAGGUAGAGUGGGGUUGGGUGGGAAAAAGAAAAAUCCCAAGAAAAAAGAAAAGGCAUCUAAACAUCUGUCCACAGUGAAAUGGAUACUUCUACUGUAUCCUGUACUGACUACCGCAGCUGACUUUCACAAAUAACGAAUGAUGUACCUUCUCCAGGGCCAGCUUUUUCCAGCUCUAGAUGUUCAGGCAUUCUGGUCAUUAUUCAUCAGUUCAAUUAAAAACAAGCCCAGUGUAAAAUAACAAGAACUCUGAACUCUGUAGACCAAAUUACCUUUCUUCAUUCCUCACUUACUGGAAUGACAUCAUUUUUUAAACUUUGCCUUUUGUAGAUUUUUUUUUUUCCUUUUUUCAAGGCACUCAUUUUAAAACGGCCUCCGCACAAUUCCUGAUUCAUUAUGAAUUGUUUUUCAGCCAGUGGGUUUCCGAGACAUUGCCCCCAAGGGGAUUUUAAAAGCUGAGUAUGCAGCCGGCUCAAAGCCAGACAUUUAUAACUAGACAUGAAAGCAUGAAUCUAUUCUCCGUGAUGUCCUUGAGAACUAAAAAUGUUUCAGAUGAAAGUUAAGACCCAGGUGUGCAGACCUGUGUCUUCUCUGAUUUGUGGAGUAGGGGGUGGUUGACGGUGGUUCCCAGGGACUGAGAAGAAGGGGGGACAAUAGGGACUUGCUGUUUGAUGGGUGUAAAAUAAAAGACAGAGCUCAUGGGGAACAAUGUGGAUUAAACACGUAAAAAUUUAACAGGGUAGAUGUCAUGUUUUGGUUUUUAUCAGAAUUUUAACAAUUGAAUUGUAGCUUUACAUGUGUAGAAAAUGGUCUCUUUCAUGGACUUCUCAAAGGUAGCUUGCCUAGUAAAAUAAAUUUGCAAGUCCAGACAUGGUGGCUCGUGAGAGCCUGUAAUCCCAACACUUUGGGAGGCUGAGGCAGAAGGAUUACUCAAGCCCAGGAGUUUGAGACCAACCUGGGCAACAUAGCAAGAUCCUGCCUCUACAAAAAAAUGUAAACAUUAGUUGGGCAUGGCGGGGGUGCAUCUGUAGUCCCAGCUACUUUGGAGGCUGAGGUGGGAGGAUGGCUUGAGCCUGGGAGGUCGAGGCUGCAGUGAGCUGUGAUCGUGCCAUUGCACUCCAGCCUUGACAACAGAAU
rnacentral:lncRNA from 10 species